CAACAUGAUGAUGAUUCUCCACCUUCUAAGAGACCAAAGACCAACAAACUACCACAGCCACCAGUUCCGGAACCUGCCAAUGAUGGGCAACGGAAAGUGAGGGAGUUGAGAAGUGGAAUAAUCAUAUCGCUGAUCUAUGUAAACAAGUUGAAGAAUUGUCUGACAGAAAAUACAUGAACUUGUGAAUUCAACACGUGAAGAUUUACAACUUGAUAAACCAGCUUCAGGAGUCGACAGUAAAGGAAGAAUGGUAUGCCAGAAUCACUAAAUGAAGAAAGAUGGUGGAUCAGCUUUUCUGCAAAAAAACUGAAGCCUUGGGGAGCACUGAAGCCAAGGUUCUACUGUACCAAAAAUUUGAAGGCCAUGCGAAUGAUCUGUAUGCGGAAGGACUACCAGAAAACAUUCCUUUCAGAAGUCCCUCGUGGUAUGGAAUCCCAAGGCUGGAAAACAUCAUUCAAGUGGGCAAUCGAAUUAAAUUUCUUAUUAAAAGUAACUCCAGUCAGACUCCAUUGUCUCCAGGUCGACUUUCGUCAUCAUCCACAACUCCUCCACACAAGCCCUGAACACG
rnacentral:lncRNA from 1 species